rnacentral:rRNA from 1 species
AGUGAACGCUGGCGGUAGGCCUAACACAUGCAAGUCGAACGGCAGCACAGUAAGAGCUUGCUCUUACGGGUGGCGAGUGGCGGACGGGUGAGGAAUACAUCGGAAUCUACUUUUUCGUGGGGGAUAACGUAGGGAAACUUACGCUAAUACCGCAUACGACCUACGGGUGAAAGCAUGGGAUCUUCGGACCUUGCGCGAUAGAAUGAGCCGAUGUCGGAUUAGCUAGUUGGCGGGGUAAAGGCCCACCAAGGCGACGAUCCGUAGCUGGUCUGAGAGGAUGCUCAGCCACACUGGAACUGAGACACGGUCCAGACUCCUACGGGAGGCAGCAGUGGGGAAUAUUGGACAAUGGGCGCAAGCCUGAUCCAGCCAUACCGCGUGGGUGAAGAAGGCCUUCGGGUUGUAAAGCCCUUUUGUUGGGAAAGAAAAGCAGCAGGUUAAUACCCCGCUGUUCUGACGGUACCCAAAGAAUAAGCACCGGCUAACUUCGUG